rnacentral:rRNA from 1 species
GACGAACGCUGGCGGCGUGCUUAACACAUGCAAGUCGAACGAUGAUGCCAGCUUGCUGGUGGAUUAGUGGCGAACGGGUGAGUAACACGUGAGCAACCUGCCCCUGACUUCGGGAUAACCGCGGGAAACCGUGGCUAAUACCGGAUAUGACGCGCUAUCGCAUGGUGGUGUGUGGAAAGAUUUAUCGGUUGGGGAUGGGCUCGCGGCCUAUCAGCUUGUUGGUGGGGUGAUGGCCUACCAAGGCGACGACGGGUAGCCGGCCUGAGAGGGUGACCGGCCACACUGGGACUGAGACACGGCCCAGACUCCUACGGGAGGCAGCAGUGGGAAAUAUUGCACAAUGGGCGCAAGCCUGAUGCAGCGACGCCGCGUGAGGGAUGACGGCCUUCGGGUUGUAAACCUCUUUCAGUAGGGAAGAAGGCCUUCGGGUUGACGGUACCUGCAGAAGAAGCGCCGGCUAACUACGUG